rnacentral:rRNA from 1 species
UACGAAGGGGGGCUAGCGUUGCUCGGAAUCACUGGGCGUAAAGCGCACGUAGGCGGCUUUUUAAGUCAGGGGUGAAAUCCUGGAGCUCAACUCCAGAACUGCCUUUGAUACUGAGAAGCUUGAGUCCGGGAGAGGUGAGUGGAACUGCGAGUGUAGCGGUGAAAUGCGUAGAUAUUGGGAGGAACACCAGUGGCGAAGGCGGCUCACUGGACCGGUACUGACGCUGAAGCGCGAAAGCGUGGGGAGCAAACGGG